GGAAGUAAAAGUCUAACAAGGUUUCCGUUGGUGAACCAGCGGAGGGAUCAUUACCGAGUUUACAACUCCCAAACCCCUGUGAACAUACCAUUUGUUGCCUCGGCGGUGCCUGCUUCGGCAGCCCGCCAGAGGACCCAAACCCUUGAUUUUAUACGGUAUCUUCUGAGUAAAUGAUUAAAUAAAUCAAAACUUUCAACAACGGAUCUCUUGGUUCUG
rnacentral:misc_RNA from 1 species